UGGGGAAUUUUGGACAAUGGGCGAAAGCCUGAUCCAGCGACGCCGCGUGCGGGAGGAAGCCCCUAGGGGUGUAAACCGCUGUCAGGGGGGAAGAACGGGUCCGGACGAAUAAUCCGGAUCUCUGACGGUACCUCCAGAGGAAGCGCCGGCUAACUCCGUGCCAGCAGCCGCGGUAAUACGGAGGGCGCAAGCGUUGUCCGGAAUUACUGGGCGUAAAGGGGGCGCAGGCGGCUUGGUAAGUCCUAUGUGAAAGCCCGCAGCUCAACUGCGGAAAGCCAUAGGAUACUGCCGAGCUUGAGACGGGUAGAGGCGAGUGGAAUUCCCGGUGUAGCGGUGGAAUGCGUAGAUAUCGGGAAGAACACCAGUGGCGAAGGCGGCUCGCUGGGCCCGUUCUGACGCUCAGGCCCGAAAGCGUGGGGAGCAAACAGG
rnacentral:rRNA from 1 species